AGUAAAUUUAAUUAUAUCAACUCCUCAACACUAGAAGAAAUUAGACCUUUAAUGUCGGUUGAAAUAAAUAAGCACGAACAUACAAUGUCGGUUAAAAAAAAAAAAUCCUCUCGUCCUCGCAAGUUCCCUCCACACGUCGGUGUUUCUAUGGAACUUCUCCAUUCACCAUUACCGCUCGUACGCUGUUCAUCCUAUUCCUUAUUCCCUCCCAAAUCAGUCGAGAUCUAAUGACCGUCGUCGGAUUUUCUCCACCACCAUGAAAGGCUCAUGCACAUUGCUCGCCUCCGUCCUCGCUGCCUCCACCAUGGCUUUCUCCUCUUCUUCUUCCUCCUCCAGUGGAGAUUGCGACCUCGCUCUUUAUCCUCCCUCUCAAUAGGGCUUCGUUUCGGAAUCUGGUGCGAACAGAGGUUACGUCUCGGAUUCUUCGUCAGAGGAGGAGAAAUUCGCGUCGAGGUUUGAUGGAUUGAGAUUCAUACAUGUUUAAUGGUAGGUCCUCACAUCAAAUCCUCGAGCUUAAGCAUCCCAGGCUAGUAAGUUCACUCAAUUUCUUAUCCUAAUAUACUCUAUCAGUAAAAAUGGAGAGUAUCGUCUAGCCCUAAUUUUUGUUUGCAUUUUUUAAAACUUGUGUUCUCAUGGGCUUCUGGUUUUAUUUUGUUGUAAUAUAAUGCACAAAUGGGAGAUUUGGGAAGAAUUUAGAUAAAAGCUUUGAAAUCCAAUACUAAAAUAAAUUAUUUUGUAUAUGCUCUUAAACUAUUCACUGAAAUGCCUUAGAGAGAGCUGCAGGUUGGGUUUUUUCAUCUGCAAACCCAAUUCUCUCCCAUAUAUUAUUUCAAACAUACAUAAAUGUUGUUUGUUUGUUGUGUUGGGUAUGCAAUGAACUUUGUUUCUUGCUUUCUGAUUUGCUUUCGAUGAGGUAAUUAGAGAGGUCCUGCUUCAAAAUGAAGAAGGUGAACUAAAUUUUAAUAGAAUGGAAGUCUUAUUUUCACAUGACAUUGCCACUUGGGUGAAAUAAGUUAAUAAUAUUUCUUGAGAACUCCAUUUUGUGGUGUUUGAUCUGAAAUAUGACUUGCAAUUGUGAUCCUCAAGGGUGAGGAUGGAUUUCAUUAUAAUCUAUUGACUAGAUUCAUGUUAAGAUUAUUUCCUCCAUUGACUUUAUUUGGAUAAUCUUGUAGGAUCUAUGUUAUAUAUAUGGCUCUUUAAUGUAUGUGAUAUUUACAAGAUCAUGAUAUUUUUUUUUGUCUAUACUA